AGAGUUUGAUCCUGGCUCAGGAUUAACGCUAGCGGCAGGCCUAAUACAUGCAAGUCGAGGGGCAGCAUUGUCUUCGGACAGAUGGCGACCGGCGAACGGGUGCGUAACACGUAUGCAACCUACCUUUUACUGGAGCAUAGCCCGAAGAAAUUCGGAUUAAUACUCCAUAAUACAGGGGGCCCACAUGGGUCUAUUUGUUAAAGCUCUUUUGCGGUAGAAGAUGGGCAUGCGGCCCAUUAGCUUGUUGGUAAGGUAACGGCUUACCAAGGCUACGAUGGGUAGGGGGUCUGAGAGGACGGCCCCCCACAUUGGUACUGAGAUACGGACCAGACUCCUACGGGAGGCAGCAGUGGGGAAUCUUGGACAAUGGGCGCAAGCCUGAUCCAGCCAUGCCGCGUGAGUGAAGAAGGCCUUCGGGUUGUAAAGCUCUUUCAGCGGAGACGAUGAUGACGGUAUCCGCAGAAGAAGCCCCGGCUAACUUCGUGCCAGCAGCCGCGGUAAUACGAAGGGGGCUAGCGUUGUUCGGAAUUACUGGGCGUAAAGGGCGCGUAGGUGGCGUUGCAAGCGGGUGGUGAAAUCCCUGGGCUCAACCCAGGAAUUGCCAUCCGAACUGUGGUGCUCGAGUUCGGAAGAGGGUAACGGAAUUCCCAGUGGAGAGGUGGAAUUCGUAGAGAUUGGGAAGAACACCAGAAGCGAAGGCGGUUAUCUGGUCCGAAACUGACACUGAUGCGCGAAAGCGUGGGUAGCAAACAGGAUUAGAUACCCUGGUAGUCCACGCCCUAAACGAUGUCCGCUAGCUAUUGGGCGCAGGCCCAGUGGCGAAGCUAACGCGUUAAGCGGACCGCCUGGGGAGUACGGU
rnacentral:rRNA from 1 species